rnacentral:rRNA from 1 species
AGUGAACGCUGGCGGUAGGCCUAACACAUGCAAGUCGAACGGCAGCACAGUAAGAGCUUGCUCUUACGGGUGGCGAGUGGCGGACGGGUGAGGAAUACAUCGGAAUCUACUUUUUCGUGGGGGAUAACGUAGGGAAACUUACGCUAAUACCGCAUACGACCUACGGGUGAAAGCAGGGGAUCUUCGGACCUUGCGCGAUUGAAUGAGCCGAUGUCGGAUUAGCUAGUUGGCGGGGUAAAGGCCCACCAAGGCGACGAUCCGUAGCUGGUCUGAGAGGAUGAUCAGCCACACUGGAAGUGAGACACGGUCCAGACUCCUACGGGAGGCAGCAGUGGGGAAUAUUAGACAAUGGGGGCAAGCCUGAUCCAGCCAUACCGCGUGGGUGAAGAAGGCCUUCGGGUUGUAAAGCCCUUUUGUUGGGAAAGAAAAGCAGCAGGUUAAUACGCCGCUGUUCUGACGGUACCCAAAGAAUAAGCACCGGCUAACUUCGUG